rnacentral:rRNA from 1 species
AAACUGAAGAGUUUGAUCAUGGCUCAGAUUGAACGUUGGCGGCAGGCCUAACACAUGCAAGUCGAACGAGAAAGCACCUUCGGGUGUGAGUACAGUGGCGGACGGGUGAGUAACGCGUAGGAAUCUACCCAGUAGCGGGGGAUAACCCGGGGAAACUCGGGCUAAUACCGCAUACGCUCUCUUCUUUGGUUAGGAGGGAGGAAAGAGGGCCUCUAUUUAUAAGCUCUCACUAUUGGAGGAGCCUGCGUUGGAUUAGCUUGUUGGUGAGGUAAAGGCUCACCAAGGCGACGAUCCAUAGCUGGUCUGAGAGGACGAUCAGCCACACCGGAACUGAGACACGGUCCGGACUCCUACGGGAGGCAGCAGUGGGGAAUCUUGGGCAAUGGGCGCAAGCCUGACCCAGCCAUGCCGCGUGUGUGAAGAAGGCCUUCGGGUUGUAAAGCACUUUCAGUAGGGAGGAAAACCUUAUGGCUAAUACCCAUGAGGCUUGACGUUACCUACAGAAGAAGCACCGGCUAACUCCGUGCCAGCAGCCGCGGUAAUACGGAGGGUGCAAGCGUUAAUCGGAAUUACUGGGCGUAAAGCGCGCGUAGGUGGUUUGGUAAGC